UGAACGCUGGCGGCGUGCCUAAUACAUGCAAAUCGAGCGAACGGACGAGAAGCUUGCUUCUCUGAUGUUAGCGGCGGACGGGUGAGUAACACGUGGAUAACCUACCUAUAAGACUGGGAUAACUUCGGGAAAUCGGAGCUAAUACCGGAUAAUAUUUUGAACCGCAUGGUUCAAAAGUGAAAGACGGUCUUGCUGUCACUUAUAGAUGGAUCCGCGCUGCAUUAGCUAGUUGGUAAGGUAACGGCUUACCAAGGCAACGAUGCAUAGCCGACCUGAGAGGGUGAUCGGCCACACUGGAACUGAGACACGGUCCAGACUCCUACGGGAGGCAGCAGUAGGGAAUCUUCCGCAAUGGGCGAAAGCCUGACGGAGCAACGCCGCGUGAGUGAUGAAGGUCUUCGGAUCGUAAAACUCUGUUAUUAGGGAAGAACAUAUGUGUAAGUAACUGUGCACAUCUUGACGGUACCUAAUCAGAAAGCCACGGCUAACUACGUG
rnacentral:rRNA from 1 species